rnacentral:rRNA from 1 species
CGGGACGGGUGAGUAAUGUCUGGGAAACUGCCCGAUGGAGGGGGAUAACUACUGGAAACGGUAGCUAAUACCGCAUAACGUCGCAAGACCAAGAGGGGGACCUCGGGCCUCUUGCCAUCGGAUGUGCCCAGAUGGGAUUAGCUAGUAGGUGGGGUAAUGGCUCACCUAGGCGACGAUCCCUAGCUGGUCUGAGAGGAUGACCAGCCACACUGGAACUGAGACACGGUCCAG